rnacentral:rRNA from 1 species
GACGAACGCUGGCGGCGUGCUUAACACAUGCAAGUCGAACGGACAGGCCCUGCUUUUGCGGGGUGCUCGAGUGGCGAACGGGGGAGUAACACGUGAGUAACCCGCACCUGUCUUUGGGAUAACUUUAGGAAACUGGGGCUAAUACCGGAUAGGAGCUACUGCUGCACGGUGGGGGUUGGAAAGUUUCGGCGGUUGGGGAUGGACUAGCGGCUUCUCCGCUUGUUGGUGGAGUAGUGGCGUACCAAGGUUAUGACGGGUAGCCGGCCUGGGAGGUUGACCGGCCUCAUUGGGACUGCGGUAGGGCCCAGUCUCCUACGGGAGGCAGCGGUGGGGAAUCUUGCGCAGUGAGCGGGAGUCUGUUACGGCAGCGCCGCGUGCGUGAUGACGUGCUUCGGGUUGUGAACCGCUUUCGCCUGUAACGAAGCGUUAGUGACGGUACUGGGUAAGAAAGCACCGGCUAACUACGUG